GCUUACACAUGCAGUCGAGCGAGAAGCUCUCUUCGGAGAGUGAGUAGAGCGGCGCACGGGUGAGUAACGCGUGGAUAAUCUACCCUGAAGAACGGGAUAACAGUUGGAAACGACUGCUAAUACCGUAUAUCCUGCAUAUUUAACUUUAUGUGGUAAAGAUGGCCUCUAUUUAUAAGCUAUCGCUUUGGGAUGAGUCCGCGUCUCAUUAGAUUGUUGGUGGGGUAAUGGCCUACCAAGUCUACGAUGAGUAGCUGGUCUGAGAGGAUGAUCAGCCACACUGGGACUGAAACACGGCCCAGACUCCUACGGGAGGCAGCAGUGGGGAAUAUUGCGCAAUGGGGGAAACCCUGACGCAGCGACGCCGCGUGUAGGAAGAAGGCCUUCGGGUCGUAAACUACUGUCAGGAGGGAAGAAACUGUUUGGGUAUAAUACGCCCAUUCACUGACGGUACCUCCAGAGGAAGCACCGGCUAACUCCGUGCCAGCAGCCGCGGUAAUACGGAGGGUGCGAGCGUUAAUCGGAAUCACUGGGCGUAAAGCGUGCGUAGGCGGCGCAGUAAGUCAGACGUGAAAGCCCUCGGCUCAACCGAGGAGUUGCGUUUGAAACUACUGUGCUAGAGUCUCGGAGAGGUUGGCGGAAUUCCAGGUGUAGGAGUGAAAUCCGUAGAUAUCUGGAGGAACACCGGUGGCGAAAGCGGCCAACUGGACGAGUACUGACGCUGAGGUACGAAAGCGUGGGGAGCAAACAGGAUUAGAUACCCUGGUAGUCCACGCCGUAAACGAUGGAUAUUAGGUGUCGGGGGUAACCCUUCGGUGCCGCAGUUAACGCGUUAAAUAUCCCGCCUGGGGAGUACGGUCGCAAGGCUGAACUCAAAGGAAUUGACGGGGCCGCACAAGCGGUGGAGUAUGUGGUUUAUUCGAUGCACGCGAAGAUCUUACCUAGCUUGACAUCUGCGAUCUCUUUUAAACGAGAGAGUGCCUUCGGGAAUGCAUGACAGUGCUGCAUGCUGUCGUCAGCUC
rnacentral:rRNA from 1 species